rnacentral:rRNA from 1 species
GCCUCUUGUUUCCCCUAUAAGAGGUUCAUCCUGCCCAGUGAAUUUUUCAACGGCCGCGGUACCUUGACCGUGCAAAGGUAGCAUAAUCAUUUGCCUUUUAAUUGGAGGCUGGAAUGAACGGAUAAACGAGGUUAAACCUGUCUCCUUAAAUCCCAUAAAAAUUAGCUUUUAGGUGAAGAGACCUAAAUAAAUUAAAAAGACAAGAAGACCCUAUUGAGUUUUAUUAAACAAUUGAUGGCACAAAAACAAAUCAAUAAUUAAUUUUGUUGGGGCGACCAAGGAGAAUAUAAAUCCUCCUUUAAAUAAAAGAAAAAUAAUUCAAAUAAAUUGACCCUUUAUUGAUCAACAGAACCAACUACCAUAGGGAUAACAGGCUUAUCUUCUUAGAGAGCUCAUAUUGAUAAGAAGGUCUGGCACCUCGAUGUUGGCUUAGGAUAUCCUUUAAAUGCAGAAGUUUAAAAAGGUUAGUUUGUUCAACUAUUAAAAUCCU